rnacentral:rRNA from 1 species
GUAGGUGGCAAGCGUUGUCCGGAAUUAUUGGGCGUAAAGCGCGCGCAGGCGGUCCUUUAAGUCUGAUGUGAAAGCCCGCGGCUCAACCGUGGAGGGUCAUUGGAAACUGGGGGACUUGAGUACAGAAGAGGAAAGCGGAAUUCCAAGUGUAGCGGUGAAAUGCGUAGAGAUUUGGAGGAACACCAGUGGCGAAGGCGGCUUUCUGGUCUGUAACUGACGCUGAGGCGCGAAAGCGUGGGGAGCAAACAGGGAUUAGAUACCCUGGUAGUCCACGCCGUAAACGAUGAGUGCUAAGUGCUAGGGGGUUUCCGCCCCCUUAGUGCUGCAGCUAACGCAUUAAGCACUCCGCCUGGGGAGUACGGCCGCAAGGCUG